rnacentral:rRNA from 1 species
UACGUAGGGGGCAAGCGUUGUCCGGAUUUAUUGGGCGUAAAGAGCGUGUAGGCGGCCUGGAAGGUCAGCUGUGAAAACUCGAGGCUCAACCUCGAGACGUCGGUUGAAACCACCUGGCUAGAGUCCGGAAGAGGAGAGUGGAAUUCCCGGUGUAGCGGUGAAAUGCGCAGAUAUCGGGAAGAACACCCGUGGCGAAGGCGGCUCUCUGGGACGGUACUGACGCUGAGACGCGAAAGCGUGAGGAGCGAACAGG